AACGAACGCUGGCGGCAUGCCUAACACAUGCAAGUCGAACGGGAUCCUAGCUUGCUAGGUGAGAGUGGCGGACGGGUGAGUAACACGUGGGAAUCUGCCUUUUGGUUCGGGAUAACCGCGGGAAACUGCGGCUAAUACCGAAUGCCCCUCGAGAGAGGAAAGAUUUAUCGCCAGAAGAGGAGCCCGCGUCCGAUUAGGUAGUUGGUGGGGUAAAGGCCUACCAAGCCGACGAUCGGUAGCUGGUCUGAGAGGAUGAUCAGCCACACUGGGACUGAGAUACGGCCCAGACUCCUACGGGAGGCAGCAGUGGGGAAUAUUGGACAAUGGGGCAACCCUGAUCCAGCAAUGCCGCGUGAGUGAUGAAGGCCUUAGGGUUGUAAAGGCUCUUUUGCCAGGGAAGAUGAUGACUGUACCUGGAGAAUAAGCCCCGGCUAACUUCGUGCCAGCAGCCGCGGUAA
rnacentral:rRNA from 1 species